UAGUCCAGUAGUGUUUGCCUUAUUGACUGAAAUUGGAAUAAUAGAUUAGUAUUGCCCCUGGGUCAGGAUGACAUUCAUACUAAUGAAAUAUUCCUUUUUUUG